UAGGGAAUCUUCGGCAAUGGACGAAAGUCUGACCGAGCAACGCCGCGUGAGUGAAGAAGGUUUCCGGAUCGUAAAACUCUGUUGUUAGAGAAGAACAAGGACGUUAGUAACUGAACGUCCCCUGACGGUAUCUAACCAGAAAGCCACGGCUAACUACGUGCCAGCAGCCGCGGUAAUACGUAGGUGGCAAGCGUUGUCCGGAUUUAUUGGGCGUAAAGCGAGCGCAGGCGGUUUCUUAAGUCUGAUGUGAAAGCCCCCGGCUCAACCGGGGAGGGUCAUUGGAAACUGGGAGACUUGAGUGCAGAAGAGGAGAGUGGAAUUCCAUUUGUAGCGAUGACAUGCGUAGAUAUAUGGAGGAACACCAGUGGCGAAGGCGGCUCUCUGGUCUGUAACUGCCGCUGAGGCUCGAAAGCGUGGGGAGCAAACAGG
rnacentral:rRNA from 1 species